CCCUUAGAUGUCCUGGGCCGCACGCGCGCUACACUGAUGCAUUCAACGAGUUUUACCUUGGCCGAGAGGCCUGGGCAAUCUUUUAAACCUGCAUCGUGAUAGGGAUAGAUUAUCGCAAUUAUUAAUCUUGAACGAGGAAUUCCUAGUAAACGCAGAUCAUCAAUCUGCAUUGAUUACGUCCCUGCCCUUUGUACACACCGCCCGUCGCACCUACCGAUUGAAUGGUCCGGUGAAGCCUCGGGAUUGUGGCCAGUUCACUUUAUUGGGAGUUGGCUGCGAGAACUUGUCUAAACCUUAUCAUUUAGAGGAAGGUGAAGUCGUAACA
rnacentral:rRNA from 1 species